AGCCCUACGGGAGGCAGCAGUAAGGAAUCUUCGGCAAUGGACGAAAGUCUGACCGAGCAACGCCGCGUGAGUGAAGAAGGUUGUCGGUUCGUAAAACUCUGUUGUUAGAGAAGAACAAGGACGUUAGUAACUGAACGUCCCCUGACGGUAUCUAACCAGAAAGCCACGGCUAACUACGUGCCAGCAGCCGCGGUAAUACGUAGGUGGCAAGCGUUGUCCGGAUUUAUUGGGCGUAAAGCGAGCGCAGGCGGUUUCUUAAGGCUG
rnacentral:rRNA from 1 species